rnacentral:rRNA from 1 species
UACGGAGGGAGCUAGCGUUAUUCGGAAUUACUGGGCGUAAAGCGCACGUAGGCGGCUUUGUAAGUUAGAGGUGAAAGCCCGGAGCUCAACUCCGGAACUGCCUUUAAGACUGCAUCGCUUGAAUCCAGGAGAGGUGAGUGGAAUUCCGAGUGUAGAGGUGAAAUUCGUAGAUAUUCGGAAGAACACCAGUGGCGAAGGCGGCUCACUGGACUGGUAUUGACGCGUGAGGUGCGAAAAGCGU